CAUAUCAAUAAGCGGAGGAAAAGACACCAACAGGGAUUGCCCUAGUAACGGCGAGUGAAGCGGCAACAGCUCAAAUUUGAAAUCUGGCCUUCGGGUCCGAGUUGUAAUUUGUAGAGGAUGCUUUUGGUGCGGUGCCUUUCGAGUUCCUUGGAACAGGACGCCUUAGAGGGUGAGAGCCCCGUACGGUUGGACACCAAGCCUCUGUAAAGCUCCUUCGACGAGUCGAGUAGUUUGGGAAUGCUGCUCUAAAUGGGAGGUAAAUUUCUUCUAAAGCUAAAUACCGGCCAGAGACCGAUAGCGCACAAGUAGAGUGAUCGAAAGAUGAAAAGUACUUUGAAAAGAGGGUUAAAUAGCACGUGAAAUUGUUGAAAGGGAAGCGUUUAUGACCAGACCUUCGUCGGGCGGAUCAUCCGGUGUUCUUCACCGGUGCACUUCGCCCGGCUUAGGCCAGCAUCGGUUUUCGCAGGGGGACAAAGGUCCCGGGAACGUAGCUCCCUCCGGGGAGUGUUAUAGCCCGGGACGUAAUACCCUUGCGGGGACCGAGGUUCGCGCUCCGGCAAGGAUGCUGGCGUAAUGGUCAUCAACGACCCGUCUUGAAACACGGACCAAGGAGUCGAACAUUUAUGCGAGUGUUUGGGUGUUAAACCCUCACGCGUAAUGAAAGUGAACGGAGGUGAGAGCCCGUACGGGUGCAUCAUCGACCGAUCCUGAUGUCUUCGGAUGGAUUUGAGUAAGAGCAUAACUGUUCGGACCCGAAAGAUGGUGAACUAUGCGUGGAUAGGGUGAAGCCAGAGGAAACUCUGGUGGAGGCUCGCAGCGGUUCUGACGUGCAAAUCGAUCGUCAAAUCUGCGCAUGGGGGCGAAAGACUUAUCGAACCAUCUAGUAGCUGGUUACCGCCG
rnacentral:rRNA from 1 species